rnacentral:rRNA from 1 species
CCUACGGGUGGCAGCAGUGGGGAAUAUUGGACAAUGGGCGAAAGCCUGAUCCAGCCAUGCCGCGUGUGAAGAAGGCCUUCGGGUUGUAAAGCACUUUCAGUGGGGAAGAAAGCCUUGGGGCUAAUACCCUCGAGGAAGGACAUCACCCACAGAAGAAGCACCGGCUAACUCCGUGCCAGCAGCCGCGGUAAUACGGAGGGUGCGAGCGUUAAUCGGAAUUACUGGGCGUAAAGCGCGCGUAGGCGGUCUGAUAAGCCGGUUGUGAAAGCCCCGGGCUCAACCUGGGAACGGCAUCCGGAACUGUCAGGCUAGAGUGCAGGAGAGGAAGGUAGAAUUCCCGGUGUAGCGGUGAAAUGCGUAGAGAUCGGGAGGAAUACCAGUGGCGAAGGCGGCCUUCUGGACUGACACUGACGCUGAGGUGCGAAAGCGUGGGUAGCAAACAGGAUUAGAUACCCGUGUAGUC